rfam:Asian citrus Psyllid, Diaphorina citri - Florida Strain, whole genome shotgun sequence.
CGGAGCGGCAAUAUCAAGUUGAAUGCUCCGGUUCCCAAUGGAUCACUGAAGUUAAGUAACGUCGUACAUGGUUAGAAUCCGAAUAGGGGACCAUCUGGGCAAUCACGUGUUCCUAGCU